rnacentral:lncRNA from 1 species
AAUGGCCGCGGACGCCAGACCGUUCCAUCUACCAUUUCAUGUGAUUUAAAAUUCGUGUCAUUCACGUUACGGAUGACAGGUGAGGUGGUUUCACAUUACAGGUUGCCCCAUUAAAUUUUUAUUCUAACUUAGCUUGUGCGACAGCUCUCUGCAAAUUAUAUUUCGCUAAAAAUUAUUUGUGUGUUGGUAAUUAGAUUGAUUACUGUAAAUUAUAUGCAUAAAUUAUUUAAAAUGUAUUACAAAAAAUUUUCGUACAAGUUGCGGAGAAAAAAAAAUUAUUUUAAGAAAUUGAAUAA